UGUGUGGACACUGUUUUAUAUGCAAUUCAUAUAUAUAAAUCUUCAAUUUAGACCUUUUUUUUAGUGCAGGGGAGUGGCCUGUAUUUUAGCCAAUCAGAAACCCUGUCAGUCAUUUUGCAUGUUCAGAUUUGCAGACCUUGGGCUGGUGGGCAGGAGUGCGUCUUAGUGGGCGGGGUUUGGCAUAAAAGGCAUAUAUGUGCGUGCGUGUAUCUUUAAGUGAGUGGAAUUUGACAUAGAGGGCGUGUGUGUUGUUUAGUGGGCGGAGUUUGACACAGCGAGCGUGUGUGUCUUAGUUGGCGGGUUUGACAUAAAGGUAUGUGUGUUUGUCAUAUAGUGGGCGGGGUUUGGCAUAAAAGGCAUAUAUGUGCGUGCGUGUAUCUUUAAGUGAGUGGAAUUUGACAUAGAGGGCGUGUGUGUUGUUUAGUGGGCGGAGUUUGACACAGCGAGCGUGUGUGUCUUAGUUGGCGGGUUUGACAUAAAGGUAUGUGUGUUUGUCAUAUAGUGGGCGGGGUUUGAUGGUGAAUGUUUGCAUGUGUUGUUUAGUGGGCGUGGUUUAGCACAGAAGGCGUGUGUGUGUUAGUGGGCGGGGUUUGACAGAGUGAGUGUGUUGUUUAGUGGGCGGGGUUUGACGUGGUGAAUGUGUGUGUGUGUGUGUUUAGUGGGUGGGGUUUAGCACAGAAGGCGUAUGGGUAUUAGUGGGCGGGGUUUGACUGAGUGAGUGUGUCGUUUAGUGGGUGUGGUUUAGCACAGAAGGUGUGUGUGUCUUAGUGGGCGGGGUUUGACGUGGUGAAUGUGUGUGUGUGUGUGUGUGUGUGUGUGUGUGUUUAGUGGGCGUGGUUUAGCACAGAAGGCGUUUGUGUCUUAGUGGGCGGAGUCAGAGGGCGUGUGCGAUUGUAGUCAGAAAAGCUCCUGAAAUCACUUACAGCACUUUUAACAAUCAGACACUGUGUUCAGAGUUUAGAAACUCUUAAAAGGCCAAACAAAAGCUACUUUAUAUUUGUGUUACCAAAUGGUCCGUUCACACAAGACGUGUUCCUGCAUUUAAACACUUGGACUGAGAUCAAUGGAAGAGAACAGAGAAAGUAGUUUUACCUUGACAUGACAGACCGCAGCCAAACACACGGAUCUGACACGCGUGUACACAGACAAACAAUAACGCAGCCCGUCCUGUGUGAACGAGCCACAUGUGACUGAACCUGCUGUGCCUUUCAUUACAAACCCUUGUUUUGUUCAUGUUGCGUGUUUUAUUUCGGUGAACAGCUGACAUCACUGUGCCUUGUUGUCAUACGUGUAAAAUACUAAAGUUGCUUUGGUAUUUGUUGAUUUGAUGUUGUGGAAUAUGUAAUCUAACGUCUGCAGUCAUUUCAGUCGGACACACUUCUGUAAAUGUGAUCUUUGAUCCUCAAACACUGAACGCAGACGAUUGCCUGAAUGAUUUUAGAUGAGAAUUGUUCUGAAAUGAAGAUAAUCUGCAAGUAUUAUUAGACAGCAGUAUUGCAAUUAUAGCGUGCAGUUCUUUUAGUGUUACUGAACUAAUAUUUCAAGAUGUUUUCUGAAAUAUGAACAAGUAUUUUCAAAGGUUCAAUCUGUAUAUUUUCUUUGUUUUGCAGACAGGAUCACACGCUUGUUUUGACAUGUUACUGUUUAAUGUGUUUGUACUGGCUUUCCUUAAACUAGAUGCUUCGGUGUAAACUCAUAACAUAAUAACCUCUUAUCAUAACUCAAGGUAUGUAUUAUCAUAUUGCACUAAAAUACACAAUAUUAAAUUUAAUUCUGAAGCUGCACAUUUAACGCACUGUGUUUUUUGAGAUGGUCAAAAUUGUUUUGAUCUCUGAGCCAUUUAUUUGAGUUUUAUGAUUUCUUUAUGUUGUUAUAUCGAUGUGCCAAACAUGAAUUGAGUUCAAAAAAUAAAUAUUGCACUUGAUGAGUUUGAUUUGCAUGGAUGUCAUUGGAGAAAAUCAAUGUUUGAGUUCAAAUGAUAGUGUUUGAGACUGAAUGUAACGUAGUUUAAAUGCCUUUUGUGUCUUUUCAGCAUUUCAGGUGUUAAAUGAUGCAGAAUCUUGCCUUCAUCAGUGUAUAAACUAUAAAACUCAGUGGCCUUCGAUCUUUGAACACAGACUGUUUAAUAUUUUCUGCAUCUGUCCAGCUCUUAGAUUUCUAUAUUCAGACUGCACAAAUAAUUGUACAGUUUUGUAUAUAAAUGAAGCCUUUUUCCUGUGGAUUUAUAA